UCUCUUCAGAGGAACCUGUCCUGUAAUUGAUGAUCCACAAUUUUAUAUACUUAUUUUAUUAAUUUACAUAUCGCCGUAGUUUGAAUAUUUUAAUAGAAUUAUAAUAUUCAAUAUUUUAAAUUAAAUAAUAAAUCAGGUCAAGGUGUAGUUUAUAAAUAAGAAGAGAUGGGUUACAAUUAAUUUAUUAAAAUGGAUAAUUAUUUGAAAAAUUAAUUUAAAAGUGGAUUUGAAAGUAAUUUUUAUUAAAUAAUAAAAAUGAUUUUAGCUCUAAAAUAUGCACAUAUCGCCCGUCAUUUUCACUAUAAAGUGAAACAAGUCGUAACAUAGUAGGUGUACUGGAAAGUGUACCUAGAAUGACAAAUUAGAGCUUGUUAUAAAGCAUUUUAGUUACAUUAAAAAGUUUAUUGUGAAAGUCAAUAUAAUUUGAAUAUUAUUUAUUAUUAAAAUUUUAAUAUUAUUUUAAUUUAAAUAAAAUAAUUUAUGGUUUUAUUAUAAAAUAGAAUAAAUUUUUUUAUUAUAGUUUAUUAGUAUUGUGAAAUAAUUAAUUUUUAUAAUUUUAAGAAUAAUUUAUUUUUAGUACCUUGUGCAUUCGCCUGUUUAUCAAAAACAUGGCUUUUUGAGUAUAAUUUAAAGUUUAACCUGCCCAAUGAGUAGUUAAAUGGCCGCGGUAUUUUGACCGUGCAAAGGUAGCAUAAUCAUUUGUUUUUUAAUUGAAAGCUGGAAUGAAAGGUUGGAUGAGAAAAUAACUGUCUCUAUUUAAAUUUUUUAGAAAUUUAUUUUUAAGUUAAAAAGCUUAAAUAAUCUUUGAAGACGAGAAGACCCUAUAGAGUUUUAUAUUUGAAAUAUUUAAUAAAUUUAGAAUUUUUAAAUUUAAUUAUUUUAAGUAUUUAAUUGGGGUGAUUAAAAAAUUUAUUAAACUUUUUUUGUAUAAAAUCAUUAAUUAAUGAAAAUUUGAUCCUUAAUAGAUUAAAAGAAUAAAUUACCUUAGGGAUAACAGCGUAAUUUUUUUUUAGAGUUCAAAUUAAAAAAAAAGAUUGCGACCUCGAUGUUGGAUUAAAAUUAAUUAUUGGUGUAGCAGCUAAAUAAAUUGGGUCUGUUCGACCCUUAAAAUUUUACUUGAUCUGAGUUCAAACCGGUGUGAGCCAGGUUGGUUUCUAUCUCAAAUUAAUUAAUAUAUUUUAGUACGAAAGGACCAAAUAUUUGAUAAAUUAUUUUAUUUUAGAUUAAAAUUAAUGUUAUUUUGGCAGAAUAGUGCGAUAGAUUUAGAAUCUUUAUAUGUAAUUUUUACAAAUAAUACUUGUUAUUUAAGGAUUUAGUAAUAAUAAUAAUUUCUAGAGUAAUUUUGGCAUUAAGAGUUAUAUUAGGUGUAGCAUUUUUAACUUUAUUAGAACGUAAAGUUUUAGGAUAUAUUCAAAUUCG
rnacentral:rRNA from 1 species